GUAAGAAAAGAGCCUCUUGAGGACACGUGGGAAAAUUCAUUAGACCAACACCAACCAUUAACAGACCAUAGCAACCAAGGGACACAAUGAGGUAUAGAGGCAACAGCCAGGUAUAGCUCUCUGGAAUAGUUGAUGUCUGCAACAAGCCUAUCCAAACAGCAGUUACUGCAAGCAAUAACGCCAAAAUCUUCACGAUAUGUUUCAUUGGAUCUGAUAUUGAAUAUGAAGCCUGCUCCGAUCAGUUCCAAUCAGGUUUUGC
rnacentral:misc_RNA from 1 species